AGCCAAUCAGUAAUGACCACCACCAUUAUUAUUACCGACAUCACACAUGUUGGGGCAGGCUGCUGAACGAAAGAAAUUCCAAAAAAAGGCCUGUAUCCAACAAGAUACAGGCCUUUUUUUA
rfam:Vibrio sp. 2756-81 Vn_2756-81_contig1, whole genome shotgun sequence.